rnacentral:tRNA from 1 species
UAUAAAUGGGGCGUGGCCAAGUGGUAAGGCAACGGGUUUUGGUCCCGCUAUUCGGAGGUUCGAAUCCUUCCGUCCCAG